UGGGGAAUGGGCGCAAGCCUGAUCCAGCCAUGCCGCGUGUCUGAAGAAGGCCUUCGGGUUGUAAAGGACUUUUGUCAGGGAAGAAAAGGCUGUUGCUAAUACCGACAGCUGAUGACGGUACCUGAAGAAUAAGCACCGGCUAACUACGUGCCAGCAGCCGCGGUAAUACGUAGGGUGCGAGCGUUAAUCGGAAUUACUGGGCGUAAAGCGAGCGCAGACGGUUACUUAAGCAGGAUGUGAAAUCCCCGGGCUCAACCUGGGAACUGCGUUCUGAACUGGGUGACUAGAGUGUGUCAGAGGGAGGUAGAAUUCCACGUGUAGCAGUGAAAUGCGUAGAGAUGUGGAGGAAUACCGAUGGCGAAGGCAGCCUCCUGGGAUAACACUGACGUUCAUGCUCGAAAGCGUGGGUAGCAAACAGGAUUAGAUACCCUGGUAGUCCACGCCCUAAACGAUGUCAAUUAGCUGUUGGGCAACUUGAUUGCUUAGUAGCGUAGCUAACGCGUGAAAUUGACCGCCUGGGGAGUACGGUCGCAAGAUUA
rnacentral:rRNA from 1 species